AACACGUAGGUAAUGUACCUUUGGGUGGGGAAUAACUUAGGGAAACUUAAGCUAAUACCGCAUAAUGCGAUAACUUCUUCGGAAGUGAUGGUUAAAGAUUUAUCGCCUGAAGAGCAGCCUGCGGCAGAUUAGCUAGUUGGUAAGGUAACGGCUUACCAAGGCUACGAUCUGUAUCCGACCUGAGAGGGUGGUCGGACACACUGACACUGAAUAACGGGUCAGACUCCUAAGGCAGCAGUCGGGAAUUUUGGGCAAUGGGCGAAAGCCUGACCCAGCAACGCCGCGUGAAGGAUGAAGUCUUUCGGGAUGUAAACUUCGUAAGAAUAGGAAGAAUAAAUGACGGUACUAUUUGUAAGGUCCGGCUAACUACGUGCCAGCAGCCGCGGUAAUACGUAGGGACCAAGCGUUGUUCGGAUUUACUGGGCGUAAAGGGCGCGUAGGCGGCGUGACAAGUCAAUUGUGAAAUCUCCGGGCUUAACUCGGAACGGUCAAUUGAUACUGUUGUGCUAGAGUACAGAAGGG
rnacentral:rRNA from 1 species